AGCAUGAUUUACAAAAGAAGAAAGAAAAGUUUGAGCUUUGUUUACAUCUGUUGAUUUUGGGCUGGAAGGUCGACGGCGGUGGCUCGGCGCCACUGUCGGUCUGGCUGGAAAGAUAGAAGGUCGGGGGCUGUGAGGCGGCUCAUCGCCGUUGCUCCGGCGAGGGUUUGAGAAGAGAGUCAGGGGAGGCCGAGCCUAGGGCUCCGGCGGGCGGCUUCUGCUGCUGCUUAUCGGAAGAAGUCCGAGAGGGAAGCCAGGCGCUGCGGCUCUGCCGUUGUUGCCUAGCUACGGUGAAGAGUGGGGAAGGAGAGGACGACGGCGGCGGUGGCUUGAUGCUCCUGCUGCCCGUCGAUCCAGAGAGAGUCGGAGUCGGCGGCGGUAGUGGCUUCUCGCUGCUAUCGCCGGAGUUCCAGAGGGAGGAUCGGAGUUUGAGAGGGAGGAGCGGUGGCGGCUGGGGCUGCUAUCGCCGGAGGUAGAACCGCGGGGGUUGAGCUUUCAGAGGGAGGCUAGAGCUCGGCGGCCUUGGCUGCUGUCUCUUGGCCACUGUCAGAGAGAGAGAGAGCUGGUGGCGGCAGCUCGUCGCUGCUGCUCCUCCGGCGAGCUCCACGGUGGGCGGCUGUUACCAGCCGAAGAGAGAGGGGCCGAGGAAGGCGGCUGGUCUUUUCGGUUGAUGCGGCUGCCGGUCGACGGCUGCCUCGCCGGAAGGAUGCGCGGUGGCGGGACUGAUGGCUGAGAGAGAAGGGAGCGAGAGAUGAGGGAAGAGGGAGCCGAGAGAGGGAGAAGAGAGUGAGAUGUGAUAGUAUGUGUGUGUGUGUGCGGCUGGGGAGGAAGAAAAAGGGUGGUGGGGGUGUUGGGCUUUAGGUUUGGGUUAGGGGUUGGGCUUUAAAUUUGGGCCGGGUUUUUAAUUAGUGUUGGGCUGAAAAUUUUGUUAGAAUUUGGGCCGAGUUGGGCCGUUUUUUUUUCAUUUUUUUUUAUUUAUUUUUUUCAGUUGGGCUUGAGUCUUUGGGCCAAGUCAGUAAUGGGCUCAGUUUAUUUAAUUUAGUUAUGGGACGAUUUUAUGAGUACUUGGGCCGAGAUUUUUAAUUAAAUGGGCUGAGUUAUUUCUUAAUUUUGGGCCGAUUUUCUUUUAUUAAGUUGGGCCUUUGAUUAUUUUAAAU
rnacentral:lncRNA from 1 species